rnacentral:rRNA from 1 species
CGGACGGGUGAGUAAUGCUUGGGAAUCUGGCUUAUGGAGGGGGAUAACUACGGGAAACUGUAGCUAAUACCGCGUAAUAUCUUCGGAUUAAAGGGUGGGACUUUCGGGCCACCUGCCAUAAGAUGAGCCCAAGUGGGAUUAGGUAGUUGGUGGGGUAAAGGCCUACCAAGCCGACGAUCUCUAGCUGGUCUGAGAGGAUGACCAGCCACACUGGAACUGAGACACGGUCCAGACUCCUACGGGAGGCAGCAGUGGGGAAUAUUGCACAAUGGGGGGAACCCUGAUGCAGCCAUGCCGCGUGAAUGAAGAAGGCCUUCGGGUUGUAAAGUUCUUUCGGUGAUGAGGAAGGUGUUUGUUUUAAUAGAACAAGCAAUUGACGUUAGUCACAGAAGAAGCACCGGCUAACUCCGUGCCAGCAGCCGCGGUAAUACGGAGGGUGCGAGCGUUAAUCGGAAUGACUGGGCGUAAAGGGCACGCAGGCGGUGACUUAAGUGAGAUGUGAAAGCCCCGGGCUUAACCUGGGAAUUGCAUUUCAUACUGGGUCGCUAGAGUAUUUUAG